rfam:Populus trichocarpa scaffold_1506_contig_1, whole genome shotgun sequence.
UAAUUUAUGUUAAACAUAUCUUUAUUUAUUCAUGACAAAUCUAAACAUAACUUAUUUAAAAUCAUGAGUUAUCUCAAACUCAAAACUAUACCAUCCUUGUGUCUCUUGGUU